CUCAAUAUGGCGGCAUUGAAACUGACACUUAUCUGACAGAUCAUGAUGCAUGGACUUUUUAUGUGCAGGGAAGAGAGAAAGUUGGUGAUGAAAAUGAUGGAGACAGCAAAAUAACAGCUGAGGAGCUUGUAGCUUUAAAAGACUCUCAUGCAUUUAAUAGUGUUGAUAGAAAAUAUGUGUUUCAUUUACCCGACACAUUCCCAGAGACUCAAAGUAUCUUGAGGUACGUUAUUCCACUUGUCAUCCUGCCCCUCCCCCACCUCCUCUGGUCUCUCGUACAGCUGUGUGUUUGGUACCAAUACAACAAGGUCUUAGCUAAUCCUGGUUCAAAAAGACAUGAAGAAGCAUUUUAAUGAUUUGAAAUGUUUUCUUUCAUCUACAGAAGCAAUGUUUCGUGACAUAGCUAAUGGUUGUAAGGAGGUACAAAUUAUUAAUGCUUCUCAGUAUGAUGAGUUAUUACAUCAUUAAUUGAAUAUUGUCCUGUUCAAUUAGUACGUUCCUCUCUAUACUAAAAGAACAGGAACAUGUUGCUCUUUCUGCAGUAGCUGACAAGAUUGCUGCUUCGCAUAAGUUAUCAGUCAUCAAAAUAAUUUAUUAUUCUAUUCCUUAGCAGAUAGAUGAACAAGAUAAUGAUUUCAGGAGCAAUGACAUUAUUAUAUGUUUCUAUUUUUCAUAUGCACUUUUUAUUUUAUGUGUUGUGUGUGUAAUUUUGUGCUUUUGUUUUAAUAACUUUAGAGGAAAAAGCAAAGAGAUGCCUCUGUGUAUAUGCAA